rnacentral:rRNA from 1 species
CGGGGGGAGCAAGCGUUGUUCGGAUUUACUGGGCGUAAAGGGCGCGUAGGCGGCCACUGCAAGUCGGUCGUGAAAUCUCCGGGCUUAACCCGGAAAGGUCAACCGAUACUGCAGGGCUAGAGUGCAGAAGGGGCAACUGGAAUUCUCGGUGUAGCGGUGAAAUGCGUAGAUAUCGAGAGGAACACCUGCGGCGAAGGCGGGUUGCUGGGCUGACACUGACGCUGAUGCGCGAAAGCUAGGGGAGCGAACGGGAUUAGAUACCCCGGUAGUCCUAGCCUUAAACGAUGAAUGCUUGGUGUCUGGGGUUUUAUAGUCCCCGGGUGCCGUCGCUAACGCUUUAAGCAUUCCGCCUGGGGAGUACGGUCGCAAGACUG